rnacentral:rRNA from 1 species
GACGAACGCUGGCGGCGUGCUUAACACAUGCAAGUCGAACGGAAAGGCCCAGCUUGCUGGGUGCUCGAGUGGCGAACGGGUGAGUAACACGUGGGUGAUCUGCCUCUAACUUCGGGAUAAGCUUGGGAAACUGGGUCUAAUACCGGAUAGGACAAUCGUUUAGUGUCGGUUGUGGAAAGUUUUUUCGGUUAGGGAUGAGCCCGCGGCCUAUCAGCUUGUUGGUGGGGUAAUGGCCUACCAAGGCGUCGACGGGUAGCCGGCCUGAGAGGGUGGACGGCCACAUUGGGACUGAGAUACGGCCCAGACUCCUACGGGAGGCAGCAGUGGGGAAUAUUGCACAAUGGGCGCAAGCCUGAUGCAGCGACGCCGCGUGGGGGAUGACGGCCUUCGGGUUGUAAACCUCUUUCGACAGGGACGAAGCUUUGGUGACGGUACCUGUAUAAGAAGCCCCGGCUAACUACGUG